GCGUGCGCCACCAUGCCCAGCUAAUUUUUGUAUUUUUUGUAAAGACAGGGUUUCACCAUGUUGGUCAGGAUGGUCUCAAACUCCUGACCUUGUGAUCCGCCCACCUCAGCCUCCCAAAGUGCUGGGAUUACAAGCAUGAGCCACCAUGGCCAGCCUAGAGUUCUUUAAGAUAUGCGUUCCAUGGAUGCAUUACAGGAUGCCCACAGUGAUUCUUACCUGCAUGGCUACUUCUCAUGGCAGGACAAAGAAGGCAUUUUGGUUGAAUAAGAACUAAGGUUUGAACAGGAAAGAUGAGAAGAGCAGGAGAUGAGAUACCCUCUCCUCUCCUAGUCCUCCACCUCCAUCCCUCUUCAGUUUGGAUCCUGGCUGGGCUGGACCCCGCAUGUUGACAACAAGGAUGUGUUGUGUGGCAUCUUUUUAAUUAAUUUUCAUAUAUGAAUUUACAGGUAGGGUAAGGAUUUCUUCUGUGGAAAAUGGUGCUGAGAUUCCAAUCCCUGCUGAGUUGAGGUUAUAAAGCUAUGGUUGACCUGGAUGAUCUCAGUUGAAGGUCAUAUUUUGGAAACGGUAACAGUGGCUCUGGUAGGGAGUUCACAACAUGGUUGGUUCUGAGCAGGACCAACCAUGUGUUAGGGAAAAUAUUUAUUCAAUAGAAAAAUGAAUAAAAACCAGAAAGAGAAGAAGAGAAUUGCUGAUUCUGGAAAUGGCAAGGUGGCUGGUCCUGGAACUCAGCUUAGUCCACCCCUUGGCAGUUUUUAAUGUAUUCUCAGGGUAAGAUGUGUACAUGUAUUUGUAAAUGAGGCAUGAAUUUAAAGAACUGUUACUUCUGGGAACCCAGGAAGCUUUGCUGAGGGAUCUUACCCUGGAGAGCACAGUAUAAAAGAAAGUAAUUCUCUCUCUUGCCUCAUAGCAACUACUUUGGGGAAGGGACUUUACAAACAUCUGCCCCAAGGCUGGGUGACAGCUGCAUAUCUGUGCAGUGUUUGUACGGGGCAUGCAAUACUUUACACACUAGCAGGGACACCUGCAGCAUCAGUAGGUUUCUGGUCUACCAAGAGCAGUGUGAUGAUGCACUCCAGGCCAGCUGGGGUGGUUGCUGUGGCGAGUAACAUUGUUAAUUCUACCAACACAGGGGGCUGAUGGGUAAAUGACACUGUUGGCAUCAGCAGUGGGCAUGGUGUGCUAACCCUUAACACUGUGCCAGGUGGGGAUGUUGGACCCAGUGGGGAUUACAGUUUUGCUAUCUGUGUGUAAGAACAAUGCUCAGAACAGUGUGCAGCAUGGGUUGUGCAGUGCACGACAGGGGCAUGUGUGAGCACUCAGCAGAUUAUUGGAACUCCUUGGAAAACUGGACCAAGACCUCCAAGGCAGAAGGGUGCUUGGGGAUAUCACUGGAACUGUGAAAUAACCAUACAUAAAAACUAAGACAUUGUGAUCAAAGUA